UACCAGACUCCUACGGGAGGCAGCAGUAAGGGAUAUUGGUCAAUGGGGGAAACCCUGAACCAGCAACGCCGCGUGAGGGAAGACGGUUUUCGGAUUGUAAACCUCUGUCCUCUGUGAAGAUGAUGACGGUAGCAGAGGAGGAAGCUCCGGCUAACUACGUGCCAGCAGCCGCGGUAAUACGUAGGGGGCAAGCGUUAUCCGGAUUUACUGGGUGUAAAGGGAGCGUAGACGGUGAGACAAGUCUGAAGUGAAAGCCCGGGGCUCAACCCCGGGACUGCUUUGGAAACUGCCUGACUGGAGUGCUGGAGAGGCAAGCGGAAUUCCUAGUGUAGCGGUGAAAUGCGUAGAUAUUAGGAAGAACACCAGUGGCGAAGGCGGCUUGCUGGACAGUAACUGACGUUGAGGCUCGAAAGCGUGGGGAGCAAACAGGAUUAGAUACCCUGGUA
rnacentral:rRNA from 1 species